rnacentral:rRNA from 1 species
AACGUAGGUGGCGAGCGUUAUCCGGAUUUACUGGGCGUAAAGCGUGUGCAGGCGGUCGUGCAAGUGGUGUAUGAAAUCGCCCGGCUUAACCGGGCGAGGUUAGGCCAGACUGCGCGACUGGAGUGCGGGAGAGGGGCGUGGAAUUCCGGGUGUAGUGGUGAAAUGCGUAGAGAUCCGGGGGAACCCCAGCGGCGAAGGCGGCGCCCUGGCCCGCAACUGACGCUCAGACACGACAGCAUGGGGAG